rnacentral:rRNA from 1 species
CAGUAGCCGCGGUAAUACAGAGGGUGCGAGCGUUAAUCGGAUUUACUGGGCGUAAAGCGUGCGUAGGCGGCUUCUUAAGUCGGAUGUGAAAUCCCUGAGCUUAACUUAGGAAUUGCAUUCGAUACUGGGAAGCUAGAGUAUGGGAGAGGAUGGUAGAAUUCCAGGUGUAGCGGUGAAAUGCGUAGAGAUCUGGAGGAAUACCGAUGGCGAAGGCAGCCAUCUGGCCUAAUACUGACGCUGAGGUACGAAAGCAUGGGGAGCAAACAGGAUUAGAUACCCCCGUAGUCCCUGUAUCUUAUAC